GUUUCACCAUAGAAAAAGAUAAUAGACAACAGCAAUGUGCAAGAACAGCCCUUUCUGUAGGCAUAUCCUCCUGUAGUACCCAUUCCCUUUUCCUUAGGGAACUUUUUCCCAACAUGCCCUUCUAGCCCUUUAAAUUUAGCAGAGAUAAGCAGCUGCAGGCCCAAGGUAGCCAUUUUGAAGCUGGCUUAGUACUAUAUCUUCCAUAGCUGAUUUAUGAGGUAGACCCCUGAGAAAGGCCACCUACCUCACACUAUGUUAAGCUGACACUAAGGAAAAGAGGGCCAAAGAGUUGCAGUUCUCAUGGUGGAGUACAUGUGAUACAUGACAGACAAGACUGGAUUAAGGUACGUUGUGGACCAUCCCAGAGAAGAGGAUUCAGCCUCCACCACCCAUGUUGAAGACUCUGUGUGUGGUGGCCUCCAUAGUGACAUCACCCCAGAAGAAAGCCAUGAUGGAAUGUUGAAAGCAAACCCCUCCAAGCAGAGUUCUCUUGGGUGAUGUUCAUGUGGGGAUCCUUCCAAAGCAGUGCAUUUGAGUCAGCCCAUUAAGAUGAAUGAAGAAGUU